AAUGUCCCGUGCAUGCCACUGAACUAGCAUCUGUGUGACAGUGGUCUACCCGCAGUUGUUCCAUCGUGUCAAUAUUUUUCGCGUCCCGGCCACGUCAAUCUCCACAAGGAGCUGUCCUCAAACAGAGACACUGGCUGCCUGUUCUCAGGAAGACAUCAAGGUGACAAUACUGGGCAUUCUGCCUCUCCAACAAAUCAAACCAAGCAGCGGAAUAUUGGGAGUCCUCGGUUUUCAUGGCAAACCUCUGAGAAGAAGGAGAAACACCUUGACCCCUCACAGACAGAGUUCGCCAGCUUUCCAAGGCUUCAGUCCGAUCUGUUUCUAGACCUCAAGGCACAUUUCACCUCUUCUGCCAAAAAAAAUUGUCCAGCUGUCUGGUCUUUUGGAGGGCUGGUCCACUGUUUCAGAAAUCUCCA
rnacentral:lncRNA from 1 species